rnacentral:lncRNA from 1 species
GUAUUAGGUCUUCUGGCUUUUCUGGAAAAAAAUACUGCAGAGAAGGAAAUAUUGUCAAAAGUCAUGUGGUGCACAGAGAGAUAGAGAGAAAAAGAGAGAAGUUUAUGUGAGAAAAGAUCCGAUUCAACGAGUUCUAUCCUUUGCACCGUGAACCAUUUUCCUGGCCAGUCGAACUGCGCCGCAAGAAGGUCCACUCAUUGGGUCAUAACGCAUAGUUAAUCGGAGCGUGACAUGCAAGCGCCUGCACGUCCGUCUAGUUGCACGCGCCUACACCAGAUCCAGCACCCCAGUCUUGGUUCAAAAUCCCCUGCACCCGUGUGUAUAGCAGUCCCUGUGCAUCCUCUGAUCUCUCCAUUCAAUCUGAAGGUGCAAACUUCGGCGCAUACACUCCGCCACACGAAAUCAAUACCCUUUAUGCCCCUCAUCCUGUGCAGCCAAGUCCACCAUAAGUCUAUCACAUCCUCACUUCCAGCAACCAAGGACGCGCACGUGGCAUAGUCUUUUGCAGCAGAUUUUCUAGCCAUUAUCUGGAUGACACGUCAGCGACUUAAUUACUACUAGCCACAUAAAAUCACAGCCCAAUCAGGUUAUUAUUUGUUCUUGUUUGAAUUAUGUUAUAUUAUUGGGUAUUAUUCAACCAUAAUUUCUUAACAAAUAAAAAUGUAAUUUUUUUUUUAUCUUCCAGAAGUCCAACUAUAUAAAUAAAAAAAUGUUUUUUUGUUUAGUUAUAAUAAUAAUAACAAAAAUGGUAAAAAAAAAACCUUAAUGUAGCUAAUAAUUAAACAUUUUUUUAUAAUUUAUUUUUAGCACCUAAUAAAUUUUUUUCACGGUAAUUAAAUAAGAAUUGUCAUUUACAAAAAUUCAUAGUAUUGUCUAAUUAAAUUUAUUUUUAAUAACAUUUGUAUGAUUUGAAAUAAUUUUAUAUAACAUUGUUCAUAACAAAAAACAUAAUUUCUUUUGGGAUUAAAUCCAAGGAUGGAAGCAGGUCAUGUUAGCACUUAUUGUUCGUAUCAUCCUUUAAUUAAUUCCUAAGUUAAUAAUAAAAAACCAAAGAAAUAUUUUAUAAUUACUUUCAAACCAUUUUUAAAAUGGGAUGUGGGGCAUAUUAAUGUUGUUUCACCAUUUUUAAGGAGCUAAUUGUUUUAAAAUUUUAGAACGAAGUAGUCCUGAUUUUUUAAAGUGUUUAGAGAUAGUAGGAGCACCUAACAUUGUCAGACUUACAAACAAAAAAUAAAUAUUUUUUUUAUACAAUCUAAUUUUUAAUAAACUACGGAUAAUAUUUUAUCUUAUACAAUCUAAUUUUUAAUAAACUACGGAUAUUUAAAUCAUACAAUUGGCAAUGGUGUUAAUACUUUCUCAAUCUGUAAUGGCCUCCUGAACCUGGAUAUCACAAUCCAAAAUUUAGUGGCAAUUCAAAGAGGUCACAUUACCGAAAAUUAGAUUAGGAGAAAAAUCCCCCUCUUAUCCACCAUGAUAAGAAUUAGUAAACAAUAUAAAAGUACAACUAAAACAUCAUACAUGUAAAUUAUUUUCCCACAAUUUUGGAGGUUGAAAUCAAAACACAUGACAAACCAACCUGAUGUCACCACAACCAAAACAUGUUUAUGUCAUGAUGUUAUUUAUUCAUGCAUUUUUCUAAUUUCUAUUAGAUGGAUGAGACUUGAGCUAAACUCUCACUGUGCUUGGAAGCAUGUUGUAAGAAUCAUAAAUGAGAUAAGAAUGUAAUCAGAAUGCAAAUAUACAACAAAACAUGAAAUAGAAAAACUAGAAUAAAGUCAAUCAUCUUCUAAACCAUCGGGUAGAACAGAUUGCUCAAAAUCAACAUCCAUAAUGACCACAUCCAAUCUCCUUUUUUAGAAGAAUGAAUAUCAUAAAAAUUAACAAUACUAACUCUUGGGACACUUGCUUAAUAUUAUGUAGUAGUCAAUUACAGAUAGUAGAGCAUAGUAGUCGAACCCAAAAAUAUUGAAAAAUUGUAAUUCAUAGAGCUUAGGCUUUGUAGCUAUGUUAGUAUUGGGCUCAUUUAUUUUUGUUUGGUGGGCCUUAGUUGUAACAAAGCAUUCUAUAAAUAGAAGUAGUUAGUUGGAUGGUUGUUAAUAAUCACAACAUUCUCACAAAUAUAGAAAGUCUUCUUCCUCUAUAUCUUCUUCUUUAACAACUCAGAUUUCUCUCUUUCUUGAAUUCCUUUUGGUUCCAAUUCUAACAGUGGUAUCAAGAGCUUGUACGAUCAGCAAACCUGUGGCAACACGUCGAGAUCACCAUCAAAACAUGAACAACAAGGAAGAAAAGGAAAACAACAUCAACAAGAAGAAAUGUCAACUUCAAAUGGAUUUGCAAUGAAUCUUCCCAUGCUUGAUGAGAAGAACUUUGAUCAUUGGAACAUUUAGAUGAAGGUAUUUUUGGAUUUCAAGAAUGCUUGGAUGUAGUGCAAGAAGGGGUGCAACCAGUUGAAGAGAACUCAACCGAAGCACAAAGGUUGGAGUCAAGAGAUGCUAAGAAGAGAGAUUGCAAGGUCAUUUUCUUGAUACAUCAUGGUGUAGAUCGUCCAAACUUUGAGAAAAUAUCUACUACAUCAUCUUCGAAGGAAGCUUGGGAAAUCUUGGAUAAAUGUUACUCUAGUGGGAUAAAGGUCAAGAAGGUCAGAUUGCAAAUGAUGCGAAGACAAUAUGAGCUAGUGCAGAUGGAGGAGCAAGAAACUAUAGCUGAAUACUUCACUAGAAUUCGAAGCCUGAUUAAUUUGAUGAAAGGCUGUGGUGAACAGAUAUCUGAGCAAAGCAUAGUAUAGAAGAUUCUCAGGACACUUGCUGCUAGCUUUGAUCAUGUUGUAGUGGCAAUUGAGGAAUCAAAAGAUCUUGAAAACUUCAAGAUUGGUGAGUUGCAAGGGUCAUUAGAAACACAUCAACAAAGAUUUCUUGAAAGAGUAACUGAUAGACAAUCACAACAAGCAUUGAGUGUUCAGUUCAAGAGAAAGAAUCUGAUGCACAAUGACUAACACAUAAAAAGUAGUGGAAGGUGGCAAGGAGAAAAGAAGUGUGUGAAUGAGAAAUCAAUUCAAAAUGGACAACGAUUUCUCAAAGAUAGCUCAGGCAAUCAGAGCUAUGAUGCAGACUCUAAAUGUCAAAAAAGGAAGCAGCCAAGAAAAUGGAAGAAGAAAGAAAGAUAAAAGCAGAAUCCAAUGCUUCAAUUGCAAAAACUGGAGUCACUUUGCUUCUAAAUGUAAGCUAAGAAGGAGAAGCAAGAAAGCAGAAGCCAGGUUGGCCAAGGAUGAAGACUCAGAUGAGGAAGUCUUACUGAUGGCAGAGUGUGAAAAAUCUGGUUUGGAAACAAGUGACUCAAGUGGAACAUUGCUAAUGGUUACCACAGACAAAGACCAACAUUCCUCUACUGAGAAUUGGUAUCUCGAUACAGGAUGCUCAAAUCAUAUGACUGGGCAUAAAGAAUGGUUUCUAACACUUGAUGAUUCUGUGAAAACCAAGGUGAAGUUUGCAUAUGAGAGUUUCAUAACAGCAGAGGGAAUUGGAAAAAUUAGCCUAAAAAAGAAAGAUGGCACUGCUUCAUACAUUUUCAAUGUCCUAUAUGUACCAAGGAUGAAAAACAACUUGAUCAGCCUUGGCCAAUUACUUGAAAAAGGAUACUUUAUGAGGAUGGAGGAUAGAAUGCUCAAAGUCUUUAACAGAAGAAGGAUCCUAAUCUUGAAGGCACCACUCUCAAGCAAUAGGACCUUCAAGAUUGGCAUCCAACUUUAGAAUAAAAAAUGUUUGGAAACCAUAUCAGGUGAUACUUUGAUAUGGCAUCAAAGACUUGGGCAUAUGAAUUUCAGGAACAUAGAAUUGCUAAAGAAAGAUGAAAUGGUAACUGGCCUUUCAGAUAUCAACAUUCCAACUGAAAUUUGUGAGGAUUGCCUAACAAGUAAGCAAACCAGAAACACCUUUAAAUCACAGUUACCAUCAAGAACUUCUAAACCUUUAGAAGUGGUAUAUAUUGAUGUGUGUAGACCACUAGAAGCUCAAUCAAUUGGAGGUAACAACUAUUUUCUAACCUUGAAAGAUGACUAUACCAGAAAGCUCUAGAUCUACUUGCUGAAAAGGAAAAAUGAAGUUUUUAGCAAGUUUCAGAGUUUUAAAGCACUAGUUGAAAAACAAAAUGGUCACAAAUUGAAGCUUCUAAGGAGUGAUGGAGGAGGUGAGUAUAUAUCUCAUGAAUUCCAUGAUUUUCGUGAAAAGGAGGGCAUUGUUCAUGAGAUAACUGCACCCUACACUCCUCAACACAAUGGGAUAGAAGAAAGGGUCAAUAGAACUAUCCUCAACAUGACAAGGAUCAUGUUGAAAUCUAAACAACUUCCUAAGAGAUUUUGGGGAGAAGUUGUGGCCACCUCAGUAUACAUAGCAAAUAGAAUUCCAACAAAAAUAUUAAAAGACAUCACACCAGAGGAGGCUUGGUCUGGACUCAAGCCAAGUGUGAAACAUCUCAAGGUGUUUGGAUCGAUUUGCUAUAAACAUAUACCAGACAAAAAAAGAAAGAAGUUCGAUGAUAAAGGAGAAAAAAUGAUCUUCUUAGGAUACCACUCAACAGGAGCAUACAAAACAUACAAUCCAGAUACAAACUUUAUCUCAUAUAGCAAGGAUCUCAAGUUUGAUGAAACACAAUCUUGGAAUUGGAACUCAAGCAAUGCAGCCUCGAUUAAAGUAAGUAUGAUGGACAUUGAAAACAAUCAGAGAACACCAGAACAUAGCAUAAUUAGAGAAGAAAACUCAGAUGCAGUUGAAAGACCUCAGAGGCAAAGGCAAUUAUCAAGCAGAUUGAGAGAUUAUGAGGUGUUUCCUGAUAACACAAUCACACCUGAGGGAGAUUUUGUUCAUAUGGCUCUACUUGCAGAUAUGGAACCAAUUACAUUCGAACAAGCAUCAAAGGAAGAAUGUUGGGUUGAAGCUAUGAAGGAAGAGAUCAGCUCCAUAGAAAAGAAUGAUACAUGGGAACUCACUACAUUGCCUAAAGGAAAGAAGGCAAUAACAGUUAAGUGGGUUUACAAAGUAAAGUUGAAAUCAGAUGGUUCAAUAGCCAAGCACAAGGCCAGAUUGGUGGCAAAGGGCUAUCUACAAAAACCAGGGUUAGACUUUGAUGAAGUAUUUGCAUCAGUGGCAAGGAUGGAAACAGUAAGGCUUGUUGUAGCAAUAACAAGCUCAAGGAAUUGGAUUCUUUGUCAAAUGGAUGUAAAGUCAGCUUUUCUCAAUGGUCCAUUGGACAAGGAAGUCUAUGUGUCACAACCUCUUGGUUUUGAAGUCUCAGGUUACCAGCAAAAGGUAUGCAAACUAAACAAGGCACUAUAUGGACUCAAACAAGCUCCUAGAGCAUGGAACAAAUUGAUUGACAAUUUUCUUGUGAAACAAGGACUGUCUAGAUGCACAAGUGAACAUGGCAUCUAUGUGAAGGGAUCACCUACUUUAGCAUCAAUAAUAACAUGCUUGUAUGUAGAUGAUUGGCUCAUUAUAGGUUGCAAGAAGGAAGAGAUAGAAAGCAUAAAGAAAGGACUCAAGAUGAAGUUUGAAAUGUCUGAUUUAGGAUCACUCACAUACUUCCUAGGGAUCAAAUUCAUGAGAACUAGUGAAGGCAUUCUAAUGCAUCAAAGAAAGUAUACCCUGGAUGUACUUGAUAGAUUCAACAUGAAGGGAUGUAAUUCAACUGCAACUCUAGUUGAAACAGGGAGUGCCUUAUGUAGAGGAAAUUCAGAGGAUGAAGGUGUUGAGCCAACACUUUUCAGGCAGAUGAUAGGAUCACUCAGGUAUAUCUGUAAUACAAGACCAGAUAUAACCUACGGGGUUGGAUUGGUUACCAGAUAUGUGGAGGAUCCCAAGUAUAGUCAUAUGGUGGCAGUCAAGAGAGUUCUCAGAUAUUUAAAGGGGAGUGUAGAUUAUGGUGUAUUCUUCCCUACACUGAAUGAAGUAAGAACAGAGACACUGCUUGGCUACACCGAUGCAGAUUGGUGUGGUGACAAAGACGAAAGAAAAAGCACUUAUGGUUAUCUGUUCAAGCUAAAUGAAGCACCUAUAAGCUGGAGUUCAACGAAGCAAAAAGGAGUGGCUCUCUCAUCAUGUGAAGCUGAAUACAUUGUAACUUGUUUAGGUGGUUUUCAAGCACUCUGGUUGCAGUCUCUGCUUAGAGAAAUUGGACUGCACAAUGAAGACUCAAUGCUACUGCAAGUUGACAACAAAUAUGCCAUAAAUUUAGCAAAGAAUCCUAUAGCUCAUGGGCGCAACAAGCAUAUAGAAACUAAGUACUAUUUCCUAAUAGAUCAAGUGGACAACGGACAUCUAAGACUAGAAUUUUGCAAGACUGAAAAGCAACUUGCUGACGUUCUUACAAAAGCUUUGAAGAAGAACACUUUCAAAAAUCAAAGAAACCAGACAGGCAUGGUUAGUCAAGAAGCACUCUGGUUUCAUAGAGCUUAGGCUUUGUAGCUAUGUUAGUAUUGGGCUCAUUUAUUUUUAUUUGUUGGGCCUUAGUUGUAACAAAGCAUUCUAUAAAUAGAAGUAGUUAGUUGGAUGGUUGUUAAUAAUCACAACAUUCUCACAAAUAUAGAAAGUCUUCUUCCUCUAUAUCUUCUUCUUUAACAACUCAGAUUUCUCUCUUUCUUGAAUUCCUUUUGGUUCCAAUUCUAACAAAAAACACUAUAGCUGGUAGCGGGAUAACCACUACAACUAAGGGAAAAAUAUAAGUAAUUUAUAUCCUAAACAUAUAAGUACACAAAGGAAAACUUAAAAUACACAAUAUUAUAUGUUAUACCCUCCACAUAUAAAUAUACACAUACACCAACAAACAUUCAAAAUAUAAGUAAUUCAUAAGUUUUGACAACAAAAAGAAACUCACAAAAGGAAGGGAGGGGGAAUAAAAGGAAAACAAAAAAAUAUAAGUAAUAUAUUAAAAUUGGAAAGUCUUGAACAUGUAAAGAAGGAAAACAAAAAGAAAUUCAUAGAAGGAAGGGAAGGGGGGAGAGGAAGGGGUAGAGGGGAAGGGGGAGAAGAGCAGGGGGGGGGGAGGGAAGGAAGUCACAUGUGUUUUUUUAGGUUAGUAGUAGUCACGUGUCUUUUUGAAAGGAAAUAAAGAGUGGAGAUUGUUUUAUAAAAAAAAACCUAAAAAACCAAUGCCAUGUAAUAAAAAGUAAGGGCAAAAAUGAUAUUUCCCAUUAAAAUUAGUGUUCUUCAUCUUGAAGCGGGUUUUGCAGUGGGUUUUGGCUCACACCUCUGCUGCAACUCAUCCCGUGAUUGGCGCGACGGCCAGCUGCACCGCUAUGCGCCAUUCCGUCGUGGGUAGGGAUGGUAACCUCCACAACCUCCACUAUCGCACCGCUAUCGUGUGCGAUUGACUACCUAGAAUAUUAUUAACCUCCACCUUUUCAAAUUAUAUUGACUUUAUGUUGUGAGAAUCCUAUUCUUGAAGGUGUAAGUUAAUGUUGAUGUUAAGCAUUUAAAAUUUAAGUUGCCUUUGAGGAAAAGCUUAUUAUAGUAAGAAGCUUGUUAAUUUUAAUUUUACAAUUUCAAUUGUGAUCCUAAUCUGGGAGCAUUAUUCAUACAAGAUCUAUGGUUAGACGUAGCAUAGAUUUAUAUGCUUACCUGCACAUAUUAAAGUUAAAUUCCUCCACCUGCACACAUUCAGAGUUUAGUGUAAACAAUAUUCUGCAUGUAGUCACCAAAUUUUCUUGCUUUCAUGGGUUCGUUAUGAGCUAAGAGCUGCAACCAUUGGGUAUGCGAUAAGCAUUAACUGAAAUUUUCUCUAGCCAUGAAUGUUGAAUAACAGAUUUAAAUCAUUCAUGUUAACACACCUUUAUUGUAUGCAUGUACUAGUUGUUGUGUUUUCUUAAUUGAAAUAAAUUGCAGUUUAGAAUUAUACCCUUCACCUUAUCCAAGUAUGAUGUAUAAUGCCGAAAAAAAAUUUAUGACAUGGAUAACAAUCUCCUUCUUUCUAACAUCUACAAUCUCUUUUUUCUAGCAGGUAGAACGAAUAAACAUAAACCCUAACUCUAGCCAAGCAUCAUACAUCAUAAGCAACAAAAAUAGCAAGUCUGUAAUACAUAAUCAUGGACACGCAGUUGAAUGCAAGCAUGGUUAAACCCUAAUAUUGAUAUACCAAUUAUAGAAGUUUUCAAUAUGCAACUAGUUCAUGUG